GACGAACGCAGGCGGCGUGCUUAACACAUGCAAGUCGAACGGAAAGGCCCUGCUUUUGUGGGGUGCUCGAGUGGCGAACGGGUGAGUAACACGUGAGUAACCUGCCCUUGACUUUGGGAUAACUUCAGGAAACUGGGGCUAAUACCGGAUAGGAGCUCCUGCUGCAUGGUGGGGGUUGGAAAGUUUCGGCGGUUGGGGAUGGACUCGCGGCUUAUCAGCUUGUUGGUGGGGUAGUGGCUUACCAAGGCUUUGACGGGUAGCCGGCCUGAGAGGGUGACCGGCCACAUUGGGACUGAGAUACGGCCCAGACUCCUACGGGAGGCAGCAGUGGGGAAUAUUGCACAAUGGGCGGAAGCCUGAUGCAGCAACGCCGCGUACGGGAUGACGGCCUUCGGGUUGUAAACCGCUUUCGCCUGUGACGAAGCGUGAGUGACGGUAAUGGGUAAAGAAGCACCGGCUAACUACGUG
rnacentral:rRNA from 1 species